UACGGGAGGCAGCAGUGGGGAAUAUUGCACAAUGGGCGAAAGCCUGAUGCAGCUAUGCCGCGUGUAUGAAGAAGGCCUUAGGGUUGUAAAGUACUUUCAUCGGGGAGGAAAAAACAAAACUAAUAAUUUUAUUUCUUGACGUUACCCGAAAAAGAAGCACCGGCUAACUCCGUGCCAGCAGCCGCGGUAAUACGGAGGGUGCUAGCGUUAAUCAGAAUUACUGGGCGUAAAGAGCACGUAGGUGGUUUUUUUAAGUCAGAUGUGAAAUCCCUGGGCUUAACCUAGGAACUGCAUUUUGAAACUGAAAUACUAGAGUAUCGUAGAGGGAGGUAGAAUUCUAGGUGUAGCGGUGAAAUGCGUAGAUAUCUGGAGGAAUACCUGUGGCGAAAGCGGCCUCCUAAACGAAUACUGACACUGAGGUGCGAAAGCAUGGGGAGCAAACAGGGAUUAGAUACCCGU
rnacentral:rRNA from 1 species